UACAGAGGUCUCAAGCGUUGUUCGGAUUCAUUGGGCGUAAAGGGUGUGUAGGUGGCGCCGUAAGUCGGGUGUGAAAUUUCGGAGCUUAACUCCGAAACUGCAUUCGAUACUGCGGUGCUUGAGGACUGGAGAGGAGACUGGAAUUCAUGGUGUAGCAGUGAAAUGCGUAGAGGUCAUGAGGAAGACCAGUGGCGAAGGCGGCCUACUGGGCCGGACCUGACGCUGAGACGCGAAGGCGUGGGGAGCGAACGGG
rnacentral:rRNA from 1 species